GAUGAACGCUGGCGGCGUGCCUAACACAUGCAAGUCGAGCGAACGGACGAGAAGCUCGCUCCUCUGAUGGUAGCGGCGGACGGGCGAGUAACACGUGGAUAACCUACUUAUAUUACUGGGAUAAUUUCGUGAAAACGGAUCUACUACCGCAUAAUAUUUUCAACGGCAGGGUGCAAAAGUGAAAGACGGUUUGGCUGUCACUUAUAGAUGGAUCCGCGCUGCAUUAGCUAGUUGGUAAGGUAACGGCUUACCAAGGCGACGAUGCGUAGCCGACCUGAGAGGGUGAUCGGCCACACUGGAACUGAGACACGGUCCAGACUCCUACGGGAGGCAGCAGUGGGGAAUAUUGCGCAAUGGGCGAAAGCCUGACGGAGCAAUGCCGCGUGAGUGAUGAAGGUCUUCGGAUCGUAAAGCUCUGUUAUUAGGGAAGAAAAUAUGUGUAAGUAACUGUGCACGUCUUGACGGUACCUAAUCAGAAAGCCACGGCUAACUACGUG
rnacentral:rRNA from 1 species